rnacentral:lncRNA from 1 species
UCCCGGNNNNNNNNNNNNNNNNNNNNCGAUCCCUGUCCCAGUCCGGAUCCCGGUUCCGGUUCCGAUCCCAGUCCCGAUCCCGAUCCCUGUCCCUGUCCCGGUUCCGGUUCCGGUUCCGAUCCCGGUCCCGGUUCCGGUUCCGGUUCCGGUUCUGAUCACGAUCCCGAUCCCUGUCCCGGUUCCGGUCCCGAUCCCAGUCCCGGUUCCGGUUCUGAUCCCGAUCCCAGUCCCGAUCCCAGUCCCGGUUCUGAUCCCGGUUCUGGUUCCAUUUCCGAUCCCAGUCCCGAUNNNNNNNNNNNNNNNNNNNNCCCUGUCCCGGUCCUGAUCUCGGUCCCAUUCCUGGUCCCGGUCCUGAGCCCGGUUCUGGUUCUGAUACCAAUUCCAAUCCUAAUCCUGGUCCCGAAUCUUAUCCCGGUCCUGGACCCGGUCCCGAUCCCGGUUCUAAUCCCGAUCCCACUCCCGGUUCUGAUUCUGAUCCCUGUCCCAGUCCCGGUUCCGGUUCUGAUCCCGAUCCCGGUCCCGAUCCCAGUCCCGGUUCUGAUCCCGGUUCUGGUUCCAUUUCCGAUCCCAGUCCCGAUCCCUGUCCCUGUCCCGGUUCCGGUUCCGGUCCCGGUUCCGGUUUCGGUUCCGGUUCGGGUUCCGGUUCCGGUCCCGGUUCCGGUUCCGGUUCCGGUUUCGGUUCCGGUUCGGGUUCCGGUUCGGGUUCCGGUCCCGGUUCCGGUUUCGGUUCCGGUUCCGGUUCCGGUUCCGGUUCGGGUUCCGGUUUCGGUUCCGGUCCCGGUUCCGGUUCCGGUCCCGGUUCGGGUUUCUGCUGCCGGGCUGAGCUGCCCCGAGCGGGAUUCGGGAAUUUGGGAACCAACUUCGCUUUUCCUGAAUAAAUCCAGCGCUUCCGGCAGCGUCCGGCUCCUCCUUUGGCCCGGUUCUGGUCCUGAUCCCGGUUUUAGUCCUGAGCCCGGUCCCGGUCCUGAUCCCGAUCCUGAUCCCGGUUUUAGUCCUGAGCCCGGUCCUGAUCCCAGUUCUGACCCCGGUCCUGAUCCUGGUUCUGAUCUCGGUCCCGGUUCUGAUCCCGAUCCUGAUCCCGGUUUUAGUCCUGAUCCCGAUCCCAGUCCUGAUCCCGAUCCUGAUCCCGGUCCCGAUCCCGGUCCUGAUCCCGAUCCCGAUCUCGGUCCUGAUCCUGGUUUUAUCCCGAUCCCCGUUCUGAUCCCGAUCCCGGGGUGGCUCCCAGUGCUCCCAGUAACGGCUCCCAGUCCCUCCCAGUCCAUCCCAGUUUAUCCCAGUUCAUCCCAGUCCAUCCCAGUCCAUCCCAGUCCAUCCCAGUCCCUCCCAGUUUAUCCCAGUCCCUCCCAGUCCAUCCCAGUUUAUCCCAGUUCCCUCCCAGUCCAUCCCAGUCCAUCCCAGUCCCCUCCCAGUCCAUCCCAGUCCAUCCCAGUCCCUCCCAGAGCCCCUCCCAGUCCAUCCCAGUCCCUCCCAGUUCAUCCCAGUCCAUCCCAGUCCAUCCCAGUUCCCUCCCAGUCCCUCCCAGUCCCUCCCAGUUCCCUCCCAGUCCAUCCCAGUCCAUCCCAGUCCAUCCCAGUCCAUCCCAGUCCCUCCCAGUUUAUCCCAGUUUGCCUCAGAGUCCCCAGCUCGGCCUCUCCCAGCUCAGCUCUGCCCGGA